UACGUAGGGGGCUAGCGUUGUCCGGAAUCAUUGGGCGUAAAGAGCGUGUAGGCGGCUCGGUAAGUCCGCUGUGAAAGUCCAGGGCUCAACCCUGGAAUGCCAGUGGAAACUGUCGAGCUAGAGUCCGGAAGAGGCGAGUGGAAUUCCUGGUGUAGCGGUGAAAUGCGCAGAUAUCAGGAGGAACACCAAUGGCGAAGGCAGCUCGCUGGGACGGUACUGACGCUGAGGCGCGAAAGCGUGGGGAGCAAACAGG
rnacentral:rRNA from 1 species